AGCGAACGCUGGCGGCAGGCCUAACACAUGCAAGUCGAACGAACCUUUCGGGGUUAGUGGCGGACGGGUGAGUAACACGUGGGAACGUGCCUUUAGGUUCGGAAUAACUCAGGGAAACUUGUGCUAAUACCGAAUGUGCCCUUCGGGGGAAAGAUUUAUCGCCUUUAGAGCGGCCCGCGUCUGAUUAGCUAGUUGGUUGAGGUAAGGGCUCACCAAGGCGACGAUCAGUAGCUGGUCUGAGAGGAUGAACAGCCACAUUGGGACUGAGACACGGCCCAAACUCCUACGGGAGGCAGCGGUGGGGAAUCUUGCGCAAUGGGCGAAAGCCUGACGCAGCCAUGCCGCGUGAAUGAUGAAGGUCUUAGGAUUGUAAAAUUCUUUCACCGGGGACGAUAAUGACGGUACCCGGAGAAGAAGCCCCGGCUAACUUCGUG
rnacentral:rRNA from 1 species